CGCCUCCGCCUCUACUGUUGCCUCUCGGAGCCCCAACGAGCUCAAGUUAAACCUUGCACGCGCUUCGCUAUUCUCUCACCUGAGUUUUGGGAAAUCAAGCGACAAAGAAGAAGCUUCUCCAUUUUUUGUUUUUGUUUUUGCUUUUUCUUGGCGACAUUUCUUCUUGUUUAACCUAUAUCCUUGUUUCGACAUUGCCACUUGAAAAGCUCCUCUGCCAUUGGUGAGCUCAAAAUGCUCUUGUUCUUUUAUUACCACAUUCUCUAUUGAAGUUCAUUUCUUUUGAAACUAUACAAAUACUCUUGUUUUCUUUUCGCUCUCCUUCGCCCGGUUUUGAUUUCAAGUUCAAAAACCCCUUAUUUUCAAACCUACGUAAGCUCAAGAUGCUUUACCUUUGUGAGCUCAAUCAAAUUCGUUGGCUCCCGCAUUUUCCAAAUUCUUCUCCAAAUUCGCUCAGUAUGCGGGUAGGUUAAAUUUCGAUUUUUACUAGCUGCGUAAUUCUAGUACUACAUAGAGUUACCGAAAGAAGCAUUUGGAGAGCAAAAUGUCUGUUUUUUCUCUGUGCCAAUUAGCUGAAUGAGGUAGAUAAAUAUGUGCUUUGAGAUGGGUUUUUGAAUUAUAUCAUGUUUGGAGCUAAGUAACUUAUGAUGGGUCUAUUUGCGAUAAUGGGUAAAUGAGCUUAAUCACAGUGACAAGAGAAAUGUGUUUUGGGCGAUGGAGAGGGGUGGUUGUGCCAUGUAUUGUUGCCAUGCCGUUUAUAGUGUAUGCUAGCUAAAGUAGCUGCGAGUAGUACAACGAGUUAAUUCUGAUGCAAUUAGUUUUUAGUUUUCAAGAUGAGUGGUUCCAUAGGUUUGGUGUAAUGACCUGCCAUAUCUGUGUAGCUGUAGGUUCAAAGGAGGUUUGGCAUUGUUUUCACUUUAUGUUGGAGUGAAUGGCAACCGGUGCUCUAGAAAUCUUCAUUUGGUCAAAGCAAAAGUUCAUAAUCAUGCCGAUUCAACUGCGAGUUGAGGCCUAAUGAUAUAUCUUUUCCUGCAUUGUUUUGUGCAAUGAAGGUUGGGAUACCGGAGUUUUUGCAGGGUAUUGGCGGAGGGUCGAAGCCCAUGUUGCCAAGCUCAACUCUGAGAUUGGCAACUUCAACAGUUUACUUGUUUCCUGCACACUUAAGCUCAAGAAACUCAGCAUCCCUUGCAAAUAUGUAAACUGUCUUUGCCUAG
rnacentral:lncRNA from 1 species